AGUGGGGAAUAUUGGACAAUGGGGGCAACCCUGAUCCAGCCAUGCCGCGUGAGUGAUGAAGGCCUUAGGGUUGUAAAGCUCUUUUACCGAUGAAGAUAAUGACGGUAGUCGGAGAAAAAGCCCCGGCUAACUUCGUGCCAGCAGCCGCGGUAAUACGAAGGGGGCUAGCGUUGUUCGGAUUUACUGGGCGUAAAGCGUACGUAGGUGGUCUCGCAAGUCAGUGGUGAAAUCCCAGAGCUUAACUCUGGAACUGCCAUUGAAACUGCAAGGCUGGAAUCUCAGAGGGGGUGGCGGAAUUGCUAAUGUAGGGGUGAAAUCCGUAGAUAUUAGCAGGAACACCGAUGGCGAAGGCAGCCACCUGGAUGAGUAUUGACACUGAGGUACGAAAGCGUGGGGAUCAAA
rnacentral:rRNA from 1 species